CCUACGGGAGGCAGCAGUGAGGAAUAUUGGUCAAUGGGCGGAAGCCUGAACCAGCCAAGUCGAGUGAGGGAUUAAGGCCCUGCGGGUCGUAAACCUCUUUUGCCGGGGAGCAGAGGUCCGGACGUGUCCGGGCCGGGAGAGUACCCGGAGAAAAAGCAUCGGCUAACUCCGUGCCAGCAGCCGCGGGAAUACGGAGGAUGCGAGCGUUAUCCGGAUUUAUUGGGUUAAAAGGGUGCGUAGGCGGGCAUUUAAGCCGUCGGUCAAAUGUCGGGGCUCAACCCCGGCCUGCCGUCGGAACUGGGUGCCUUGAGUGGGCGAGAGGUAUGCGGAAUGCGUGGUGUAGCGGUGAAAUGCAUAGAUAUCACGCAGAACCCCGAUUGCGAAGGCAGCAUACCGGCGCCCUACUGACGCUGAGGCACGAAAGUGCGGGUAUCGAACAGGAUUAGAUACCCCUGUAGUC
rnacentral:rRNA from 1 species